rnacentral:rRNA from 1 species
AUUGAACGCUGGCGGCAGGCCUAACACAUGCAAGUCGAGCGAGCGGCGGACGGGUGAGUAAUGUAUGGGGAUCUGCCCGAUGGAGGGGGAUAACUACUGGAAACGGUGGCUAAUACCGCAUACUAUCGGAUGAACCCAUAUGGGAUUAGCUAGUAGGUGGGGUAAAGGCUCACCUAGGCGACGAUUCCUAGCUGGUCUGAGAGGAUGACCAGCCAAACUGGUACUGAGACACGGUCCAGACUCCUACGGGAGGCAGCAGUGGGGAAUAUUGCACAAUGGGCGCAAGCCUGAUACAGCCAUGCCGCGUGUAUGAAGAAGGCCUGAGGGUUGUAAAGUACUUUCAGCGGGGAGGCGUUACCCGCAGAAGAAGCACCGGCUAACUCCGUGCCAGCAGCCGCGGUAAUUC